CCAAUAGCGUAUAUUAAAGUUGUUGCAGUUAAAAAGCUCGUAGUUGAACUUCGGGGUUUACUCGUUGGUCAGGCUUAAUUGUCUGUACUGGUGAGAUGAAUCUCUACCUUCUGAGGAACUUUCAUGUCAUUUAUUUGGUGUGAUUGGAAAUCAGGACUGUUACUUUGAAAAAAUUAGAGUGUUUAAAGCAGGCUAACGUCUGAAUACAUUAGCAUGGAAUAAUGAAAUAGGACGGACUGAUUCUAUUUCGUUGGUUUCUAGGAUCACCGUAAUGAUUAAUAGGGAUAGUUGGGGGCAUUAGUAUUCAAUUGUCAGAGGUGAAAUUCUUGGAUUUAUUGAAGACUAACUACUGCGAAAGCAUUUGCCAAGGAUGUUUUCAUUAAUCAAGAACGAAAGUUAGGGGAUCGAAGACGAUCAGAUACCGUCGUAGUCUUAACCAUAAACUAUGCCGACUAGGGAUCGGACGAAGUUAAUUUUAUAAUGACGCGUUCGGCACCUUACG
rnacentral:rRNA from 1 species